rnacentral:rRNA from 1 species
UACGAAGGGGGCGAGCGUUGUUCGGAAUUACUGGGCGUAAAGGGCGCGUAGGCGGCGACUCAAGUUAGAUGUGAAAGCCCCGGGCUUAACCUGGGAACUGCGUUUGAAACUGGGAGACUUGAGUGUGGCAGAGGGGGGUGGAAUUCCACGUGUAGCAGUGAAAUGCGUAGAUAUGUGGAGGAACACCGAUGGCGAAGGCAGGUCUCUGGGCCACUACUGACGCUGAGAAGCGAAAGCAUGGGGAGCGAACAGG